GGUGAGAUGGCUGAAUUAUAAGUGUUAGACUGUAAAUCUAUUUAUGAGAAUUAAUCUCUCUCACCA
rnacentral:tRNA from 1 species